rnacentral:rRNA from 1 species
CACGUAGGGCGCAAGCGUUGUCCGGAAUUAUUGGGCGUAAAGAGCUCGUAGGCGGUCUGUUGCGUCUGCUGUGAAAACUCGGGGCUUAACCCCGAGCCUGCAGUGGAUACGGGCAGACUAGAGGUAGGUAGGGGAGAAUGGAAUUCCCGGUGUAGCGGUGAAAUGCGCAGAUAUCGGGAGGAACACCGGUGGCGAAGGCGGUUCUCUGGGCCUUACCUGACGCCGAGGAGCGAAAGUGUGGGGAGCGAACAGG